ACGGGGUGCAGCAGGCGCGAAACCUUCACAAUGUGCGAAAGCGCGAUGAGGGGAUCCCAAGUGCUUGCUCGUAAGAGUAAGCUGUUUUUAUGUCUAAAAAGCAUAGAGAGUAAGGGCUGGGUAAGACGGGUGCCAGCCGCCGCGGUAAUACCUGCAGCUCAAGUAGUGACCGCUAUUAUUGGGCCUAAAACGUUCGUAGCCGGUUUGAUAAAUGCCUGGGUAAAUAGUGUAGCUUAACUAUACGAAUUCCGGGUAGACUGUCAAACUUGAGACCGGGAGAGGCUAGAGGUACUCCUGGGGUAGAGGUGAAAUUCUGUAAUCCUGAGGGGACCACCAGUGGCGAAGGCGUCUAGCUAGAACGGGUCUGACGGUGAGGAACGAAGCCCUGGGGCGCGAACCGGAUUAGAUACCCGGGUAGUCCAGGGUGUAAACGCUGCUUGCUUGAUGUUAGUUGGGCUCCGAGCCCAAUUAGUGUCGGAGAGAAGUUGUUAAGCAAGCUGCCUGGAAGUACGAUCGCAAGA
rnacentral:rRNA from 1 species